rnacentral:rRNA from 1 species
UACGGAGGGAGCUAGCGUUGUUCGGAAUUACUGGGCGUAAAGCGCGCGCAGGCGGCUAUCCAAGUCAGUGGUGAAAGCCCGGAGCUCAACUCCGGAACUGCCAUUGAAACUGUUUAGCUUGAGGAUGAGAGAGGUGAGUGGAAUUCCCAGUGUAGAGGUGAAAUUCGUAGAUAUUGGGAAGAACACCGGUGGCGAAGGCGGCUCACUGGCUCAUUACUGACGCUCAGGCGCGAUAGCGUGGGGAUCAAACAGG